rnacentral:lncRNA from 1 species
UUGUCCUGUAUCUGCUUCUUGUAAUGAUAGCAAAGUUGUUGCAUUGCCUUCUGUGUCUGUUUCUUGUAAUGAUGACAUCUUGUCUGAUCACAAAGCUGUUCCAUUGCCUUCACAUGUAAAUAGUUCCAUCUGUAAUAAUGAUUUUACAUCUGAUAUGAAUUACAUUGGCACUUAAGACUUGCACAUACUCCUUUUGCAAAUAUGAAAUGCAUUUCUGGUCUGUCACUUCCAUUUGCUUCCAAACAACCCUUUCCCUGUUCGUCUGUCCUAUGGCCAGACAGACUAGGCUUCCAUUUCCUGAUAGUUCCAUUAAGACUUCUAGA